GCCCGAGUGGUGAAAUUGGUAUACACGACGGAUUCAAAAUCCGUUGUCGAAAGACGUGCCGGUUCAAGUCCGGCCUCGGGCACCA
rnacentral:tRNA from 1 species